UGGAAUCGCUAGUAAUCGCGGAUCAGAAUGCCGCGGUGAAUACGUUCCCGGGUCUUGUACACACCGCCCGUCACACCAUGGGAGUCGGUAACGCCCGAAGUCAGUGACCCAACCGAAAGGAGGGAGCUGCCGAAGGCGGGACUGGUGACUGGGGUGAAGUCGUAACAAGGUACC
rnacentral:rRNA from 1 species